GGGGAGCACAGAAGAAUCGAGAGGUGGAAGAAUAUUUGGAAAAGAAAAAGGGAAAUAGAAGAUGGCGGCCAAUCAUGGUGAUUGAAGGAAAUUGUCUAUUAUAUCUCGUGGUUCUCCAGUUCUUCUUCUAUUUCAAUAGGACGAGGUAGCGAGGAUAUUCGGAAAGCAAAAUGUCUAGAUUAGCAUGCAGCCUCUAACUCUGUGAGUGGAAAAAUAAAAAUAUUUUUAAAGUAUUUAUAAGUUAAGUAUAUUAUCAAAGUAUGUGCAAUUAUGUGUUCGAUUAUAUGAUUAUUAUGAAAAUCUCUUUUAUUAUGAUACAUGUGGAAUCUCAAAGAUUAUCUAUGGCAUAUUUGUAAUUUGGUAUGUGAGACAUGUGAUAUUGAGAUUUGUUUGGUAUGUAAAAUUUGUGAUCUUGAGAUCGACCAAAAAAGUAUUCAUGAUUCUAGUUCAUAAAGAGGCCUUGACCGUGUUCUAUCCUACACGAAGGGGUUUUGACCUGACAUUGGUAUUGAUCGUGUACAUAUGGUUCACAGAGGGGCUUUGGCCAUGUUCUAGAAUUGAUUACCAGAUGUCACGAGAUCCGCUUUUGUUCACGGAGGGAGCCAAAGGCUCGUGGCGAAAGUACUUAGCCCGAGGGGGUGGAUUACAUAUUUUAAUCAGAGAGUACAUUUUUUGUGGAUCACAUGUGAUGUGAUGAGAUGAUGGCAUAGAUAUCAGCAGAUGGCUAUAUUGUGAUUAUGAGAUGAUAUUUACAGUGUUAUGAGAAUGUUUCACUUUUUGUCUA